UUUGACCUCAAAUCAGGUAGGACUACCCGCUGAACUUAAGCAUAUCAAUAAGCGGAGGAAAAGAAACUAACAAGGAUUCCCCUAGUAACUGCGAGUGAAGCGGGAAAAGCUCAAAUUUAAAAUCUGGUGGUCUUUGGCCAUCCGAGUUGUAAUCUAGAGAAGUGUUACCCGCGUCGGACCGUGUAUAAGUCUCCUGGAAUGGAGCGUCAUAGAGGGUGAGAAUCCCGUCUUUGACACGGACUACCGAGGCUUUGUGGUGCGCUCUCAACGAGUCGAGUUGUUUGGGAAUGCAGCUCAAAAUGGGUGGUAAAUUCCAUCUAAAGCUAAAUAUUGGCGAGAGACCGAUAGCGAACAAGUACCGUGAGGGAAAGAUGAAAAGAACUUUGGAAAGAGAGUUAAACAGUACGUGAAAUUGCUGAAAGGGAAACGCUUGAAGUCAGUCGCGUUGGCCGGAAAUCAGCCUUGCUUUUGCUGGGUGUACUUUCUGGUUGACGGGCCAGCAUCAGUUUUGACCGGUGGAAAAAGUCUGAGGGAAUGUGGCAUCUUCGGAUGUGUUAUAGCCCUUUUUCGUAUACAUCGGUUGGGACUGAGGAACUCAGCACGCCGAAAGGCCGGGUCUUUGACCACGUUCGUGCUUAGGAUGCUGGCAUAAUGGCUUUAAUCGACCCGUCUUGAAACACGGACCAAGGAGUCUAACAUGCCUGCGAGUGUUUGGGUGGAAAACCCGGACGCGUAAUGAAAGUGAAAGUUGAGAUCCCUGUCAUGGGGAGCAUCGACGCCCGGACCAGAAGUUUUCUGACGGCCCUGCGGUAGAGCAUGUAUGUUGGGACCCGAAAGAUGGUGAACUAUGCCUGAAUAGGGUGAAGCCAGAGGAAACUCUGGUGGAGGCUCGUAGCGAUUCUGACGUGCAAAUCGAUCGUCAAAUUUGGGUAUAGGGGCGAAAGACUAAUCGAACCAUCUAGUAGCU
rnacentral:rRNA from 1 species